rnacentral:rRNA from 1 species
UACGGAGGGUGCGAGCGUUAAUCGGAAUUACUGGGCGUAAAGCGCGCGCAGGCGGCUUUUCAAGUCGAUUGUGAAAUCCCCGGGCUUAACCUGGGAACUGCAGUGGAGACUGCCUAGCUAGAGUAUGGGAGAGGGGAGUGGAAUUUCAGGUGUAGCGGUGAAAUGCGUAGAUAUCUGAAGGAACAUCAGUGGCGAAGGCGGCUUCCUGGACCAAUACUGACGCUCAUGUGCGAAAGCGUGGGGAGCAAACAGG